rnacentral:rRNA from 1 species
GAUGAACGCUAGCGGCAGGCUUAAUACAUGCAAGUCGUGGGGCAGCAGGACUGUAGCAAUACAGUUGCUGGCGACCGGCAAACGGGUGCGGAACACGUACGCAACUUACCCUGAACUGGGGGAUAGCCCGGGGAAACCCGGAUUAAUACCCCGUAAUAUAAUGGAGUGGCAUCACUUUAUUAUUAAAGCUCCGCCGGUUCGGGAUGGGCGUGCGGCUGAUUAGGUAGUUGGUUGAGGUAACGGCUCACCAAGCCUACGAUCAGUAACUGGUGUGAGAGCACGACCAGUCACACGGGCACUGAGACACGGGCCCGACUCCUACGGGAGGCAGCAGUAAGGAAUAUUGGGCAAUGGAGGCAACUCUGACCCAGCCAUGCCGCGUGGAGGAUGAAGGCCCUCUGGGUUGUAAACUUCUUUUAUAGGGGACGAAGCCUGUGUAUUCUUACGCAGUUGACGGUACCCUAGGAAUAAGCACCGGCUAACUCCGUG